UGGGGAAUAUUGCACAAUGGGCGAAAGCCUGAUGCAGCGACGCCGCGUGAGGGACGAAGGCCUUCGGGUUGUAAACCUCUUUCAGCAGGGAAGAAGCGAAAGUGACGGUACCUGCAGAAGAAGCACCGGCUAACUACGUGCCAGCAGCCGCGGUAAUACGUAGGGUGCAAGCGUUGUCCGGAAUUAUUGGGCGUAAAGAGCUCGUAGGCGGUUUGUCACGUCUGCUGUGAAAACUCAGGGCUUAACCCUGAGCCUGCAGUGGGUAUGGGCAGACUAGAGUGUGGUAGGGGAGAUCGGAAUUCCUGGUGUAGCGGUGGAAUGCGCAGAUAUCAGGAGGAACACCGGUGGCGAAGGCGGAUCUCUGGGCCAUAACUGACGCUGAGGAGCGAAAGCAUGGGGAGCGAACAG
rnacentral:rRNA from 1 species